rnacentral:tRNA from 1 species
GCCUGGGUGGCUCAGUUGGUUAAGCGUCUGCCUUGGGCUCAGGUCAUGGUCCGGGGUCCCGGGAUCAAGUCCCGCCUCGGGCU